rnacentral:lncRNA from 1 species
AAAAGCUCUCUCCCCUUCCAGCUCGUCCGGCCAGAGGUCCGGUCAUCGGCCACCGCGCCGGUCGCCGAUCUCCGGCGCCGGCACCGCCGUAUGCGGUGGCCGAAAAAAGGGAAAACUCCCUAUUCGGCUCUUUCGGCCUCCCUUAACCCGAAUCCGGGCCCAAAUCCUUCGAAAAUUUAUGAAAAAUACCCUAAAAGCCCUCGGAACCUUUCGACUUCCGAUCGACUAUCCUUGGAGACGAACCUUGACCGUUCCUACGGCGAUUCAGAAGCAAACCAAAGUAAGUUCUUUACUCUCCGUUUUAUUAUGUUUUAGUAAAGUAAAAAAUAAAAAAAAUAAAAGAAAACAAAGAAAUAAUCGAUGCAAAAAUAAAAAUAUCAACCUUUUUGAGUUUUGGUUGAUUCUGUGUUUGUAAAAUAUCGUGCCUUUUUUAUUGAUUUUGAAUUUCGGAUCCCAUUACAAUAUUACAAUGGCUAUUUUAUAGCCGUAUGAAAUAAAUCUAAAAAGGAAACAAAUCCGUUUUUUGAUUUGAUUUACAAAUAUUUUGAUUCACUUUCCAUUUUCGUUUUUCCUUAAUGCACAGGUGAAGACCGAGGACGCUCGUGGCUUCGGCGCAAAGGCUUCCUCAGAAACCCUAAGGUUUCUGCAAAUGAUUUGGGCCACUGAGUUUUGGGCCCCUGUUGUAUUUCGGGUUUUGGGCCACAUAAGCCCAUUUGUAAUUCUGGCCCUUUAGACCCAGGCCAAAAUAAGGUGUUACAAUUCUAAUGUAAAUAUUAAAAUAAUGUUAAGAUGACAAUAUAAAUAUUUCAAUAAAUACAAAAAUAGAAUUAUUAAUUAUUA